GAGAGAGAGAGAGAGAGAGAGAGAGAGUAAGAGGUGAUACCUCCGCUUGAGAAGCGAAACUGACAGGCCUCAGAGCAUCCAUGUCUUGAGACCUGUUAUGAAUCCAAAUUCACUAGCUGAGAAUCUUAUUCCAGUUCUUUUCACUUAACAAUUUCCCGUGUUGUGAAAUCUUGAAAAUAAUUUAUGAUAUCAACAAAACUUCCAGAGGACCAUCAAAACCGAAGAGGAAAGAAGAGCUUAUUCUAAUAAGUAUCAAUCAAUCCAAAGUAGGAUUCACGUUUUCUCUCCACCCCCGCUCCUCCCUCUCUCUCUUCUAUUCCAUGAAAAUGCUCCGACGGAGAGUGGAUAUACCUCGAGUAAAAGCUGAAAUCCCAAUGAGUUCAGGCCUUGGAAUGUAUCGGUUGACGCAAUCAUUUCCUAUAACCAUAGGCAUUCCCUAAGUUUUUUUCCUAUCACCAAUAGUUUCCUUUCUUCAAAUAGAGAUGCGCCGAAUCAUUGACCACACUGUUCCAAAUAUUCCUUGAUUUUGUAUUGCAAUGUUCUAAGUGUAACGAUGUUUCAUAAUAUCAUUUAGAAUAAUCAGCAUCGGAGAAUGGCGAUCUCUUAGGGUGAAAGCACGGCGCAUGCGCAUAUCAAAGAGAGAAUUAAACCAGGUCACAUUGUCUUCGUCUUUGUCCAGACCCAACUCCUAGAAUGAUUGCGGAAGAAAGCCUAAAGAGGAUUAAUCACAUCAUGGUAAGACCUCCCGUCUCGGAGAAGAUAGAACGAUGGCCCGUGUGCAGUGGGUCUAUCUAAUAAAACAAACAAAAGAACAGUGGACAGAGAGAGGAGAGAGAGAGAGAAAGAGAGAGAGAGAGGAGAGAGGAAACAGUUUGCGUAGGGCACGUCAGGUUAAAACGCUGUUCGAGAUCGGUGCCAUGCAGGGAGGAGAAAGACAAAAAACGAUGUGAAGGAGAGGAAGAAAGAGGACAAUCCAAAGCCCUAGAUGCAUACGACCCCCGUCCUCCCCCCCCUUUUCACGCGAUAUCAGUCUUGUAAAAAAUUUUAAAUGAGAACUUAGCGAAGAGCAGACCUCGAGCAUAUAAAAAAUGCCCUUCUGCGUACGCUCAUCACCAUAGCUGAUGACUUAAACGAGUUUCCCUCGCUGAAAAAGCGAUCUGCUUUUACGACCCAGAAGCCACAGCUCCCCUCUUCCCCGGCAAAAUCUCACAGACCGGAGAUAUAGAGGGGGUGGGGGGAAAGAGAGAAUAGGAAAGGCUGCCAUCGCUAAAAGAGGGAAAGAAAAGAUGGAGGAAGAAGGGACGGUGGUCUAGGUCUUACCUUAUAGAGUUGCUCCACCUGGUGGUGGUGGCUGCGCCGCCACCGGCGGGGAAGUCCAUGUCGGCAUGGUGGGCGGUGACCACCAUCCGUCGGAGGUUUAGAUCGGAGGCUGAUAGAUGGAGAUCCUCAUCGCCGGAGCCGUCAGAUUGCCCUUCGUUGAGAAGAUCCAGCAUGAGAUACUUGCAGCAUUUUAGAGAAUGAUAGGUAGAUAGAUAGAUAGAUAGAUGGAUGGAGAGGGAGAGAGAGAGAGAGAGAGAGAGAGAGAGAGAGAGAGAGAGAGA
rnacentral:lncRNA from 1 species